CCAGGAUCUCCAGGCAGAUGAAGAAGAUGCGCUCAUACGUCAUGGCUAUCCUCCAGUCAUCGGCUGCGUUGUCCACCAUAAAUAACUGCAAGGAAAGGGCACGGUGAAGCUUACGGAGGGUGGUUAUCCUGCCUUGUACGAAGGAAAAAUAUUCCCAUUUGUGUCUGCACGUUAAGCCUCCUUGCGACACAGGAUUGUGCUCAGGUCAGUCCAUCUGUCAGCUCAGCGCAUUUUUUUAAAGUGUGCAGUUUGGAAUUUCUGUGACUUUUGUCCACUCAACAAAUACAUGCCUGCAUUAUGACAAAUGAGGUGGAAUUUAAUAAAC